rnacentral:snRNA from 1 species
GUGAUGACUUUGGCAGCACAUAGACUAAAAUUGGAACGAUACAGAGAAGAUUAGCAUGGCCCCUGUGCAAGGAUGACAUGCAAAUUGGUGAAGUGUCUAUAUUUUUU